ACGGGUGAGUAACGCGUGGGAAUCUACCGCACCCUACGGAAUAGCUCUGGGAAACUGGAAGUAAUACCGUAUACGCCCUAACGGGGAAAGAUUUAUCGGGGUAUGAUGAGCCCGCGUUGGAUUAGCUAGUUGGUGGGGUAAAGGCCUACCAAGGCGACGAUCCAUAGCUGGUCUGAGAGGAUGAUCAGCCACAUUGGGACUGAGACACGGCCCAAACUCCUACGGGAGGCAGCAGUGGGGAAUAUUGGACAAUGGGCGCAAGCCUGAUCCAGCCAUGCCGCGUGAGUGAUGAAGGUCUUAGGAUUGUAAAGCUCUUUCAACGGUGAAGAUAAUGACGGUAACCGUAGAAGAAGCCCCGGCUAACUUCGUGCCAGCAGCCGCGGUAAUACGAAGGGGGCUAGCGUUGUUCGGAAUUACUGGGCGUAAAGCGCACGUAGGCGGGUAUUUAAGUCAGGGGUGAAAUCCCGCAGCUCAACUGCGGAACUGCCUUUGAUACUGGGUAUCUUGAGUAUGGAAGAGGUAAGUGGAAUUGCGAGUGUAGAGGUGAAAUUCGUAGA
rnacentral:rRNA from 1 species